UACGUGAGGGUGCGAGCGUUUAAUCGGAAUUACUGGGCGUAAAGCGUGCGUAGACGGUUGCGUAAGUCAGAUGUGAAAGCCCCGGGCUCAACCUGGGAAUUGCAUUUGAGACUGCGUAGCUAGGGUGCGGAAGAGGGAAGCGGAAUUUCCGGUGUAGCGGUGAAAUGCGUAGAUAUCGGAAGGAACACCAGUGGCGAAAGCGGCUUCCUGGUCCAGCACCGACGUCAGGCACGAAAGCGUGGGGAGCAAACAGG
rnacentral:rRNA from 1 species